AGAGUUUGAUCCUGGCUCAGAUUGAACGCUGGCGGUAUGCUUAACACAUGCAAGUCGAACGGAAACGAUGGAAGCUUGCUUCCAGGCGUCGAGUGGCGGACGGGUGAGUAACGCGUAGGAAUCUGCCUGAUAGUGGGGGAUAGCCCGGAGAAAUCCGGAUUAAUACCGCAUAAUCUCUACGGAGUAAAGGAGGCCUCUAUUUAUAUGCUUUCGCUAUCAGAUGAGCCUGCGUAAGAUUAGCUAGUUGGUGAGGUAAAAGCUCACCAAGGCUACGAUCUGUAGCUGGUCUGAGAGGACGAUCAGCCACACUGGGACUGAGACACGGCCCAGACUCCUACGGGAGGCAGCAGUGGGGAAUAUUGCACAAUGGGCGCAAGCCUGAUGCAGCAAUACCGCGUGUGUGAAGAAGGCCUUAGGGUUGUAAAGCACUUUCAAUAGAGAAGAAAAGCUUAGAGUUAAUAACUCUAAGAAUUGACGUAACCUAUAGAAGAAGCACCGGCUAAAUCCGUGCCAGCAGCCGCGGUAAUACGGAUGGUGCGAGCGUUAAUCGGAAUUACUGGGCGUAAAGCGCGCGUAGGCUGUUUUAUAAGUCGGAUGUGAAAUCCCCGGGCUCAACCUGGGAACUGCAUCCGAAACUAUUUAACUAGAGUAUGGGAGAGGUAAGUAGAAUUUCCGGUGUAGCGGUGAAAUGCGUAGAUAUCAGAAGGAACAUCAAUGGCGAAGGCAGCUUUCUGGACCAAUACUGACGCUGAGGUACGAAAGCGUGGGUAGCAAACAGGAUUAGAUACCCUGGUAGUCCACGCCGUAAACGAUGAUAACUAGCCGUUGGGGGGAUUUACCCCUUAGUGGCGAAGCUAACGCGUUAAGUUAUCCGCCUGGGGAGUACGGCCGCAAGGCUAAAACUCAAAGGAAUUGACGGGGACCCGCACAAGCGGUGGAGCAUGUGGUUUAAUUCGAUGCAACGCGAAGAACCUUACCUGGUCUUGACAUCCUGCGAACUUUCUAGAAAUAGAUUGGUGCCUUCGGGAACGCAGUGACAGGUGCUGCAUGGCUGUCGUCAGCUCGUGUCGUGAGAUGUUGGGUUAAGUCCCGUAACGAGCGCAACCCCUAUCCUUAUUUGCCAGCACAUUAUGGUGGGAACUAUAAGGAGACUGCCGGUGAUAAACCGGAGGAAGGCGGGGACGACGUCAAGUCAUCAUGGCCCUUACGACCAGGGCUACACACGUGCUACAAUGGGAAGUACAAAGAGUCGCGAAGCCGCGAGGUGUAGCUAAUCUCACAAAUCUUCUCGUAGUCCGGAUUGGAGUCUGCAACUCGACUCCAUGAAGUCGGAAUCGCUAGUAAUCGUAGAUCAGAAUGCUACGGUGAAUACGUUCCCGGGUCUUGUACACACCGCCCGUCAUACCAUGGGAGUGGGUUGCACCAGAAGUGGCUAGUCUAACUUUGUGAGGACGGUCACCACGGUGUGAUUCAUGACUGGGGUAAAGUCGUAACAAGGUAACC
rnacentral:rRNA from 1 species